rnacentral:tRNA from 1 species
GGAGAGAUGGCUGAGCGGCUUAAGGCACCCGACUCGAAAUCGGACGUACGGCAACGUACCGUGGGUUCAAAUCCCACUCUCUCCG